rnacentral:tRNA from 1 species
GGUCGAGUAGCUCAGUCCGGCUAGAGCGGCGCUCUUACAAAGCGCGGGGCAAAGGUUCAAAUCCUUUCUCGACCA